UACGUAGGGGGCGAGCGUUGUCCGGAUUUACUGGGUGUAAAGGGCGUGUAGCCGGGCUGACAAGUCAGAUGUGAAAUCCGGGGGCUCAACCCCCGAACUGCAUUUGAAACUGUUGGUCUUGAGUAUCGGAGAGGCAGGCGGAAUUCCUAGUGUAGCGGUGAAAUGCGUAGAUACUAGGAGGAACACCAGUGGCGAAGGCGGCCUGCUGGACGACAACUGACGGUGAGGCGCGAAAGCGUGGGGAGCAAACAGG
rnacentral:rRNA from 1 species